ACGAACGCUGGCGGCAUGCCUAACACAUGCAAGUCGCACGCGACCUUCGGGUCUAGUGGCGCACGGGUGCGUAACGCGUGGGAACCUGCCCUUAGGUUCGGAAUAACUCCCCGAAAGGGGUGCUAAUACCGGAUAAUGUCUUCGGACCAAAGAUUUAUCGCCUUUGGAUGGGCCCGCGUUGGAUUAGCUAGUUGGUAGGGUAAAAGCCUACCAAGGCGACGAUCCAUAGCUGGUCUGAGAGGAUGAUCAGCCACGCUGGGACUGAGACACGGCCCAGACUCCUACGGGAGGCAGCAGUGGGGAAUAUUGGACAAUGGGCGAAAGCCUGAUCCAGCAAUGCCGCGUGAGUGAUGAAGGCCUUAGGGUUGUAAAGCUCUUUUACCCGGGAUGAUAAUGACAGUACCGGGAGAAUAAGCUCCGGCUAACUCCGUG
rnacentral:rRNA from 1 species